CCGAGGGGGCCGGCCUGGAUCUCCCGCAGGGCGGGAGGCCCGUCAGUAGCCGGGAUGAGCUCCGGGGAGGACGAUGGCCCGGGAGGCCGGGGGAGGGCUCCAGAGCUCCAGGUAGAAGGCACGGAGGUUACCACCAAAGAACAUCAGUUUGGUCUCGGGGCUCCAGUUUCUGAAGCUGGAAAAAACCAGAAUACUCUCCAACUAGAACAAGAAGUGAGAACCCAAGAUAGAUUCAUCUCUACACUGAAAUUACAGAUUGAAGAUCUCAAACAGACAAAUCAUGACUUGGAAGAAUAUGUUAGGAAACUCUUGGAUAGUAAGGAGGUGGUAAGCAGUCAAGUAGACGAUUUAACCAACCACAAUGAGCAUCUUUGUAAAGAAUUGAUUAAAAUUGAUCAACUAGCAGAGCAAUUAGAAAAAGAGAAAAAUUUUGUGGUGGACACUGCCGACAAGGAACUUGAAGAAGCAAAGAUUGAACUCAUUUGCCAGCAAAAUAAUAUAACAGUACUGGAAGAUACAAUUAAAAGGCUUAAAUCUAUAAUUUUAGAGACUGAAAAAGCACAAAAUAAAUCUCCUUCUAGACUUGAUUCCUUUGUCAAGACUUUAGAAGCAGACAGAGAUUAUUAUAAAACUGAAGCUCAGAAUUUGAGAAAAAUGAUCAGAAAUAGAUCUAAGAGUCCAAGACGCCCAUCUCCAACUUCUCGGGGUGCAAACUGUGAUGUAGAGCUUUUGAAGUCAACAACAAGAGACCGUGAAGAACUGAAAUGUAUGCUGGAAAAAUAUGAACGUCAUUUGGCAGAAAUCCAGGGCAAUGUCAAGGUUCUUACAUCUGAGAGAGACAAGACCUUCCUUCUUUAUGAGCAGGCACAGGAAGAAAUUGCUCGACUUCGAAGAGAAAUGAUGAAAAGCUGUAAGUCUCCUAAAUCAACUACAGCACAUGCUAUUCUUCGUCGGGUAGAGACAGAAAGAGAUGUAGCCUUCACUGACUUACGAAGAAUGACCACAGAACGAGACAGUCUGAGAGAAAGGCUAAAGAUUGCUCAGGAGACAGCAUUUAAUGAGAAGGCUCACUUGGAACAAAGGAUAGAGGAGCUGGAGUGUACAGUUCAUAACCUUGAUGAUGAACGCAUGGAACAAAUGUCAAAUAUGACUUUGAUGAAGGAAACCAUAACCACUGUGGAAAAAGAAAUGAAAUCAUUAGCAAGAAAGGCAAUGGAUACCGAAAGUGAACUUGGCAGACAAAAAGCAGAGAAUAAUUCCUUGAGACUUCUAUAUGAAAACACAGAAAAAGAUCUUUCUGAUACUCAGCGACACCUUGCUAAGAAAAAAUAUGAACUACAGCUUACUCAGGAGAAAAUUAUGUGCUUGGAUGAAAAAAUUGAUAAUUUUACGAGGCAAAGUAUUGCACAGCGAGAAGAAAUCAGCAUUCUUGGUGCAACCCUCAAUGAUCUGGCUAAAGAAAAGGAAUGCCUGCAAGCAUGUUUGGAUAAAAAGUCUGAGAAUAUUGCAUCACUUGGAGAGAGUUUGGCAAUGAAAGAAAAGACCAUUUCAGGCAUGAAGAAUAUCAUUGCUGAGAUGGAACAGGCAUCAAGACAGUCUACUGAAGCCCUAAUUAUGUGCGAACAAGAUAUUUCCAGAAUGCGCCGGCAAUUGGAUGAAACAAAUGAUGAACUGGCUCAGAUUGCCAGGGAAAGAGAUAUCUUGGCUCACGAAAACGACAGCCUUCAAGAACAGUUUAGCAAAGCCAAACAAGAAAAUCAGGUACUGUCCAAAAAAUUGAAUGAUACUCAUAAUGAACUCAAUGAUAUAAAACAGAAGGUCCAGGAUACGAAUAUGGAGGUUAACAAGCUGAAGAAUAUAUUAAAGUCAGAGGAAUCUGAGAACCGGCAAAUAAUGGAACAACUCCGAAAAGCCAACGAAGAUGCUGAAAACUGGGAAAAUAAAGCCCGCCAAUCAGAGGCAGAAAACAAUACCCUCAAAUUGGAACUUAUUACUGCUGAAGCAGAGGCCAACAGAUUGAAAGAAAAAGUUGAUGCCCUUAACAGAGAGGUUGAGCAACACUUAAAUGCAGAGCGCUCUUACAAAUCCCAGAUUUCAACUUUACACAAGUCUCUUGUGAAGAUGGAAGAGGAGCUUCAGAAGGUUCAGUUUGAAAAGGUGUCUGCACUUGCAGACCUGUCUUCUACGAGGGAACUCUGUAUUAAACUUGACUCAAGCAAAGAACUUCUUAAUCGACAGCUGGUUGCCAAAGAUCAAGAAAUAGAAAUGAUGGAGAAUGAGCUGGAUUCUGCGCGCUCUGAAAUAGAACUGCUCAGGAGUCAGAUGACAAAUGAGAGGAUCUCCAUGCAGAAUCUCGAGGCUUUGCUGGUGGCCAACCGAGACAAAGAGUACCAGUCCCAGAUAGCAUUGCAAGAAAAGGAGUCUGAGAUCCAGCUUCUGAAGGAGCACCUUUGUCUGGCAGAGAACAAAAUGGCCAUCCAGAGUAGAGACGUGGCCCAGUUCAGAAAUGUCGUAACACAGUUGGAAGCAGAUUUGGACAUUACUAAAAGACAGCUAGGGACAGAACGAUUUGAAAGGGAAAGGGCUGUCCAAGAACUUCGCCGCCAGAAUUACUCAAGUAAUGCUUAUCAUUUGAGUUCAAUGAAACCAAAUACAAAAUGUCACUCACCAGAACGUGCUCACCAUCGAUCUCCUGACCGAGGCCUCGACCGAUCAUUAGAAGAGCCAGGGCCUUGAACUGAGCUGAAAACUGAGAGAUGCUCUCGUCUUUCUUCUGGACACAUAGAACAUCUGUCUGCUGGGCAGCCGCAGGUCCAGCUGCUGAUCAGUCAUUGGUGACCUCUUUCCUCUCUGCUUUUGGUUCCUGUUCCAGCACCAGUGCUAAGCCUAUAGGCUGAAGAUGAUGCCCCAGCACUGCGGAGAAACCUCAGGAAUCUUUGCUAUAGAGAUUUCUGACAUGUGAAAAGAUUCUCCACAGCCUUGGAAAGGUCAAAGAUACAAACGGAAUUUUUUUUUGCUAUUUGAUUGCAUUUAUCUUUUGAAUGCUUGACAGUGUUAAAUGUAUUUAUUAACUUUGUGCCUCUGAGUCUGUUCUCGAGUGCCAUAUCACAGUGAUCUGAGAUGAUGUAUACAAACAAAAAUGCACAUGGCUCUUUCUAUCCAUACAGUAAUAGUGAGUGUAAAAUCUGCUUACUUCACUAUUGAGCACUGUUUUGUUAACUAUCCGGAGUAAAUAAAGAAGCUUAAAAAAGAGGGAAAAGUGUUUUUACAAAACUGAUUUCCUUUCCUUUCUUGCUAUCUCAAAUGAAUGGUUGGUUACAUUUUUUUUCUUUGUGAUUUAUAUUCUCAUGGCUGGAAAAGUUGUGCCAAAAUGGGCACAGCCUAGCAGCUCUGGCCUGGGACCCAGUAAUGCAUUUUGGAACCAACCUGACAUAACUUCCAUGCCACAAUCUACCUUCAAAGUAGGAGUGUGCCAGGGCAUUCAGUCCAUGCUGCUGUAGCGCACAGCCCGAGUACCAUGCGUUUUUACAAUUGUGUUUGCUCCUACUGUUGUUAGAAAGGUAGGUGAUGAUCUAUCUAUCUAUCCAAAAUGUAAGAUUUUUUAAAAUCUGUAUUUUUCAUAAGUUUUCUUCAAAACAUUAAAGUACUGCAAUGAACUUAAUUGCCAUUUUAUUAUUAUUUUUUGCCUGUGGCAGCUGUCUGUAAUCUAGAGUGACAAGCUAUUUCCUUCCCCUCACCUGCAUCUCUUAAGUCUCUUUUCUGUCCAUAGGCUUUGAUUUAAUGUUGAUAUUAGAGCCUGAAUGCUACUGUAUUUUACUGGUAUAAGCUAUAUGUAUUCUUACAUUUUAAUAAAAAAGCAAGCCCUGUCAUUAAUAGUA